rnacentral:sRNA from 1 species
GUUUUUCUGGAGAAGAUACUGUAUGUUGGGUUACCAGUGGAAACAUCAGUAUGACUGGGGUCUCCAGAUUCCUAGUCCAGUUUUCUCUCUUCCAUACAACAGUGACAUAUACUUGGUCUUCCAUUUUUCUCUUGUUGGUCCAAGCAUAUUUUUACAUGUUUUAAAAUGUUUUCUGCCAGGCACAUUGCAAGCAACCCGUGCCUUGAUGGUGGUUGGCAUCCUCCUGGGAGUGAUAGCAAUCUUUGUGGCCACUGUUGGCAUGAAGUGUAUGAAGUGCUUGGAAGACGAUGAGGUGCAGAAGAUGAGGAUGGCUGUCAUUGGGGGCGUGAUAUUUCUUCUUGCAGGUCUGGCUAUUUUAGUUGCCACAGCAUGGUAUGGCAAUAGAAUCGUUCAAGAGUUCUAUGACCCCAUGACCCCAGUCAACGCCAG